UCAGGUAGAGGCGCAAACAAGAUCAGUACUUCGCGAAGGAUUCCCGCUUAAACGGGUUCGCGGCGGAAAGGCGAGUUUGCCGAAAUCGUUUUUCCUUUUAAGGGGAAACGCGGUUGGGAAACGGAAAAACAUUCCGUUAACUGUCGCUUUUAUAAAGCGGAGAGCUAUCGA
rnacentral:ncRNA from 1 species